GACGAACGCUGGCGGCGUGCUUAACACAUGCAAGUCGAACGGAAAGGCCCUGCUUUUGUGGGGUGCUCGAGUGGCGAACGGGUGAGUAACACGUGAGUAACCUGCCCUUGACUUUGGGAUAACUUCAGGAAACUGGGGCUAAUACCGGAUAGGAGCACCUGCUGCAUGGUGGGGGUUGGAAAGUUUCGGCGGUUGGGGAUGGACUCGCGGCUUAUCAGCUUGUUGGUGGGGUAGUGGCUUACCAAGGCUUUGACGGGUAGCCGGCCUGAGAGGGUGACCGGCCACAUUGGGACUGAGAUACGGCCCAGACUCCUACGGGAGGCAGCAGUGGGGAAUAUUGAAAAAUGGGCGGAAGCCUGAUGCAGCAACGCCGCGUGCGGGAUGACGGCCUUCGGGUUGUAAACCGCUUUCGCCUGUGACGAAGCGUGAGUGACGGUAAUGGGUAAAGAAGCACCGGCUAACUACGUG
rnacentral:rRNA from 1 species